rnacentral:rRNA from 1 species
UACGUAGGGGGCAAGCGUUGUCCGGAAUCAUUGGGCGUAAAGCGCGUGUAGGCGGUCCGGUAAGUCCGCUGUGAAAGUCGGGGGCUCAACCCUCGGAUGCCGGUGGAUACUGUCGGGCUUGAGUACGGAAGAGGCGAGUGGAAUCCUGGUGUAGCGGUGAAAUGCGCAGAGUAUCAGGAGGAACACCAAUUGCGAAGGCAGCUCGCUGGGACGUUACUGACGCUGGAGACGCGAAAGCGUGGGAGGCAAACAGGAU